CAAAGCAAAUGUAUUUAAAAAAUUGCAUAAACAAUAAAGAACGAUAUAGCCAAAAUCUUUUAAAAACAAUUAAAAAUCAAUCAAUUCCGGUCAUUGGAUUCAGCUGUAUUUUGUUAUUUUUUGUAU
rnacentral:rRNA from 17 species